CCAUCUUGGACCUUUACAUGUAAAUUUGACCUAAGAGUUUUAUCAUAAAACUUUAUAAAACCAACUUUAGUUUUAUGGUUCAGUUUCUCACAACACUUCACUAGGUCGUUUUUUUGUAGUACUUGGAACACGAUUCUGAAAAGAAAGUUAAGAAAAACUCUUUGUUCACGUACAAAUUAAACACUGACUCACUUGGAGAAUGGAUUGAAGAAGAUGAUGGUGCACUUGGAACAAGUGUUGAUGAUGAUGACUCUCCUUCAAGAACAACUUGAUUCUUUCUUUGGUGAUGAGUGGUGACAAGAUGAAAGCAAGGAAGCAAAUACUACAAGAAAACAUACUUGAAGGGACGGAUUAUGACCGUCCCUAAAUCUGAAGAAGGAUUUAGUGAAAGUGAUGACAAGAGCUCUUUGGAAGUGGUUUCUUUAU
rnacentral:lncRNA from 1 species